rnacentral:tRNA from 1 species
GGCGACAUCGACGAAUUGGUAUAAGUCACCUGCCUCUCAAGCAGGAGGUUGUGGGUUCGAGCCCCACUGUCGCUACCA